UACAUGUGGGGCAAGCGUUGUUCGGAAUUACUGGGCAUAAAGGGUGCGUAGGUGGCGCUGUAAGUGGGGUGUGAAAUCCCGGGGCUUAACCCCGAGACUGCAUUCCAUACUGCGGUGCUUGAGGACUGGAGAGGAGACUGGAAUUUACGGUGUAGCAGUGAAAUGCGUAGAGAUCGUAAGGAAGACCAGUGGCGAAGGCGGGUCUCUGGACAGUUCCUGACACUGAGGCACGAAGGCCAGGGGAGCAAACGGG
rnacentral:rRNA from 1 species